UGCGGUUUCAAAGGGUCUCAAAGCUGGCCGCGCUUCUUCUGGAUAUUUCGGAUGGGUCCGAUAGCGGAGACGAAGAUAGCCCUCCGCAGCAACCCAGUAAUGUUCCUAACACGAAGGGCCAUUGUUUGCAGGCUCUACGCACCGAUCUCCGUCGUACUCGUCGAGCUGCCUACGCCAAAGGAACUUAGGGUAACUUACGAACGCAAUUUCGUACAUUUAUGUUAUUUUGUUCUUAUUACGAGCUACAGCCAAUACCUGCUAGUAUUGACACUAUUUGUUUAUAUGCACAGUUCCUUAGUCGCUCUCUGUGUCCGAGUAUAUUCAAAAUUACUUGUCUGGCGUUAAGUUGUUACAUCCUUUAUUAUGUAGUCAAUUUAUUAUUUAGUCAAUUUAGCGCUCGUCGUGAUCUCACUCGAGAGGAUGUCGUUAUUAAUUCUACCGGAUUAUUAGUGACUUUUAAACAAACCCAGACCACUCAAUUCGGGGACCGUCCGUUGCAAAUUAGCCUUUUGUCAAUUCCGGGUUCGCCGUUAUGCCCUGUUGCUGCAUAUUAUCGCAUGCUCUCGCUUGUUCCUGCGCCGUCCAGCAGACCGCUCUUUCUGCUGUUAGAUAGCAACGGUAAAUCGUAUCCCCUAGCUAAGCGGGUCUUGGUUUCUACAUUUCUGGUGCUGGUGUCCCGAAUGCCGAGGCCUUUCGUGGUCACUCCUUUAGGCGUGGAUCUACUUCUUGGGCUUUCAAACUCGGUUAACCAGGCGAACUUUGUUUGGCCGGGGGUUUGGUGGCAGAGAAGAUUUAUUUUGUAUAUACUUAUGUUACUAUGGUUUUUUAUGAUAAAUAAACUUCUCUCUGGGCCAAACAAACACAUUACAGUGUCAGUCUUGUGUUCCUUAUUCUAGUAUUUAUAUUUAAUUAGCAUUAAUAGGGAAUUUGGAUAUAACAAGUAUUUCCAUGGGUUUCUCUUGGCUGUUUAUUCAGGUUGUGCUUGUUAUAACUUCCGCCUUCACUGCCUCACGUCACGCACGUCGCCUCACAAGUACUGGCCCUUCAGCCUUUGUAAUAUCAGUUCGUCUUUCUAUACGCCCUAGUAUUCAUGAGUACGCUUAGUUCUUAAAGAUAAAAAAACUGAGGUACAAAAAGGUGUAAACAUUACCUUGCCUAAUUUCGUGGGAAAAAUACAUCUAUGGUUGCGAUUU